UACAGAGGGUGCGAGCGUUAAUCGGAAUUACUGGGCGUAAAGCGUGCGUAGAUGGUUAUGUAAGUCGGAUGUGAAAGCCCCGGGCUCAACCUGGGAAUGGCAUUCGAGACUGCAUAGCUAGGAUGCGGAAGAGGGAAGCGGAAUUUCCGGUGUAGCGGUGAAAUGCGUAGAUAUCGGAAGGAACACCAGUGGCGAAAGCGGCUUCCUGGUCCAGCAUCGACGUUCAGGCACGAAAGCGUGGGGAGCAAACAGG
rnacentral:rRNA from 1 species